UCCAAUGAUGAUAAGUUCAAUUUUUUGCCAGUCUAGUAAGAACAGAGCGUUUCCGCAAGAGACGUUUCUUAAAACCAUCCCGUACUUGCGUACGUCUCCUUCGUUGUGUUUGGACCGGUUUUCGUUUUGGGAUCCGGUUCGUUUGACUUCAAUGAUGGGAGAAUUGGGCGUUUUUUAAUGUGAUGAGUGGCUGGCGUAUUUAUGUCAUAGUUACACUGAGG
rnacentral:snoRNA from 1 species